GCAGUCUAUUUCUGUCGAUUGUUGUUGGCCAGUUAAAUUCGUUUUUUAAUCGAGUAACAUCGUGUAUCUGAACAAAGCUUUUAUUUUCCUUCUUUGUCUAUCAAGAAGGUUAACAUACUGUCGUUCCUUUAUUAUCUUGUUGUUUGCGAUGAAGAGUUUCACGGAUUCCAGUUUUUAUGGCAUUUUUUUUGAGAGCGAUAAGAGACGCGAACGUACACGCGCAUAACAAAAGAAUAUGCUUUCACUCGCAGUCGGCUGCCGUCAAAGAAAUAUUCGCAUGGCCGACGUCGUAUAUGGGCAUUUCCUUCAGUAAAAUGAAAAUGAAAAGGUACUGUCUGCGAACAAUUUGGCUAGCCGAGGUGUUACAAUAUGAGAUGAAACAAAUCACUCACACCAAAACAGCAUCAAUAUUAACACUUUAAAUCCAUGGUACCUACAUAUUUUUAAAAGUACAUCUACAUAGCUUACUUUCACACAGAACGUAACACUACAAAUGUGCUUUACACACACCUGAUGAUAAUUUUUCUGCAGGGAAUAUGACAGUAUAACAGAACAGAAUGUUGUGAUCAUUUCUGAAAGUUGUUGGGAUUUUGGUGAGUGCAGAGUUAAUCUGCCAUGAGUAGUCUCUAUGGUAAU